rnacentral:rRNA from 1 species
GGAUCCAGACUUUGAUUAUGGCUCAGGAUGAACGCUAGCUACAGGCUUAACACAUGCAAGUCGAGGGGCAGCGGUAUCGGAAGCUUGCUUUCGGUAGCCGGCGACCGGCGCACGGGUGAGUAACGCGUAUCGAACCUGCCUCAUACUCGGGAAUAGCCUUGCGAAAGUAAGAUUAAUGCCCGGUGUUCUCAGAGUCCCGCAUGAGGCUUUGAACAAAGAUUUAUCGGUAUGAGAUGGCGAUGCGUCCCAUUAGCUUGUUGGCGGGGUAACGGCCCACCAAGGCAUCGAUGGGUAGGGGUUCUGAGAGGAAGGUCCCCCACAUUGGAACUGAGACACGGUCCAAACUCCUACGGGAGGCAGCAGUGAGGAAUAUUGGUCAAUGGGCGGAAGCCUGAACCAGCCAAGUAGCGUGCAGGAAGACGGCCCUCCGAGUUGUAAACUGCUUUUAGUUGGGAAUAAAACGGGGCUCGUGAGCCCCCUUGCAUGUACCAUCAGAAAAAGGACCGGCUAAUUCCGUGCCAGCAGCCGCGGUAAUACGGAAGGUCCGGGCGUUAUCCGGAUUUAUUGGGUUUAAAGGGAGCGCAGGCGGACCUUUAAGUCAGCUGUGAAAUACGGCGGCUCAACCGUCGAACUGCAGUUGAUACUGGAGGUCUUGAGUGCACACAGGGAUGCUGGAAUUCAUGGUGUAGCGGUGAAAUGCUCAGAUAUCAUGAAGAACUCCGAUCGCGAAGGCAGGCAUCCGGGGUGCAACUGACGCUGAGGCUCGAAAGUGCGGGUAUCAAACAGGAUUAGAUACCCUGGUAGUCCGCACAGUAAACGAUGAAUACUCGCGGUUUGCGAUACAGUGUAAGCCGCCAAGCGAAAGCGUUAAGUAUUCCACCUGGGGAGUACGCCGGCAACGGUGCAACUCAAAUGAAUUGAC